UAAACUGCAGUUUUAUGAGUC
rnacentral:piRNA from 1 species